UACGUAGGGGGCUAGCGUUAUCCGGAAUUACUGGGCGUAAAGGGUGCGUAGGCGGGUUUUUAAGUCAGAGGUGAAAUCCUGGAGCUCAACUCCAGAACUGCCUUUGAUACUGAAAGUCUUGAGUAUGGGAGAGGUGAGUGGAACUGCGAGUGUAGAGGUGAAAUUCGUAGAUAUUCGCAAGAACACCAGUGGCGAAGGCGGCUCACUGGCCCGAUACUGACGCUGAGGUGCGAAAGCGUGGGGAGCAAACAGG
rnacentral:rRNA from 1 species